CCUUGGUUUUCAUCUGGGGGAAAGAAACAGAGGAGAGAGCCUGGAGGAGGCCCUCAGGCUGGCUGAGGUCACCCAUGGGAUCCUGAGCCAUGGCUCUGUCAUGCCACCCAGAGUAUCAUCACAGCAUCCCUGAUGCAUCCAAAACACAGAGAAAUGGCCAAGUCCAGCUGGAGGUUGAUUCCUGCUAUUGAGAUUUUUAUUUAUUAAUUUGUAGCUCACUUGCUUUCUUUUGGCACCAUUUUUCUCUGCAAGUGAAAAAUUUCCCCUGAAUCACUACGUGUUAUUUCCACUUGUCAAGAUAAAGGUUAGUGAAAUACCAGUAACUGCAUCACAAAUCCAGCUCCAUAUCUAUCCAGGAUUUUAUAUGGCAAGUUAUACUGCACAGCCUGUUCCUAGAAAAGGCUGUGAUUAAAAAAACUAAAACUGUCAGAGGUCAAGAAAUUCAUAGUUAGAGCAGCAUAGCCUCUGCCCUUCUCUCCUCACAUCUUGCCUGCAGGACAAGGAAUAAAAAACCUCCUGGAACUGGCACAAACAAGUGUGGGACGAGAUUUCCUCCAGCACACAAGAUUCUGCAGGACUGUGGUAUUUAAAGAGCAUUUUAGUUUGCAAAUGUUUCCUGCAUCUGGAAAAUGGUUAUUUGUAUAUUUAUACACUACAUAAAUAAUAUAUAAAAUACACAAAUACCAUAGAAUCAUAGAGUAUCUUGAGUUGGAAAAGACCAUCAAGUCCUAUAAAUAGAUACAGAAUUUAGAAGCAACAUGAUGCUAUAAUUGACAUAUAUCUUUCUUCAAAUAGAUUUGCACCAGAGGCACAAGGAGAAUUUGACACACUUGCUGCAAAGAGGUUUUCAUGCCCUGAACGUGAAACCACCAGGACUGGCUGAAGGACACUCUGUGCCCAGGGACUGGGGAGCUGAGACCUGAAAUGGAAUUUCACUAGAGAUCCUACCAACAUUAAAUACUCUGUGAAGCCUCAGGAGCUCCUGAGAUGAUGGAUGACAUCAAGAGCCAAAAGAACAUGUACAAAGCAUCUGCAGAAAGAGAUCCUUAAUGACUGUGUGAAGUCUGUUGAUUUGUUGCCAGCACAUGCUCUCACUCUCCACGGCAGUGUUUGCAACAAUGGGAUCCUCACUUUGGAAAUUUCAGCUGCUUAUAGGAAGUUUAGGUGUUCAAAAUGGCCACUGCAACGGGCUUGUAUAACAUCUAAGGCACAGAAAUCCACCAUAAUUUUGAAGAAUAAAGUGGGAAUUCAUUUUUCAUUAUUGGAAGAAAUACUCUGUUUUCUGCUAUUACAAGGAAUGAUCAAAGACUCGGAGCCCUUUGGAAAGAGUUUCCAAUAG
rnacentral:lncRNA from 1 species